GCCCUCGUAGCUCAGCUGGUCAGAGCGCGUCCUUGGUAAGGACGAGGUCACCGGUUCAACUCCGGUCGAGGGCUCCA
rnacentral:tRNA from 1 species